rfam:Peptoniphilus sp. oral taxon 375 str. F0436 noncontiguous_finished_chromosome, whole genome shotgun sequence.
UGAGUAAGUCAUUCAAUCGCAUGUGCAAACAUGAGGAAAGUCCGUGCUCCAUAGAGCGAGGAUGCCGGAUAACGUCCGGUGGAGGCGACUCCAAGGCUAGUGCAACAGAAAGAUACCGCCACAUUGUGGUAAGGGUGGAAAGGUAAGGUAAGAGCUUACCAGCAAUUUGGAGACAAAUUGGCUCUGUAAACCCCAUCCGGAGCAAGACCAAAAAGGAUCAAAAGGUGGCUGCUCGUCACCGCCAAGAGGUAGGUCGCUGGAGGUAUUUGGCAACAAAUAUCCUAGAUAGAUGAUUGAUAAAACAGAACACGGCUUAUAGACUUGCUCUUACA